UGAAAAUAGAAGAAAAAUAUAAAUAAAUAAACAAAAAACAAAGAAUGAAGAAGAUCGAAAGGAGAGAAAGAAACUAGGCGCCAUUGUUGUGCGAAAAAGAAGAAAAUGGUGACGGUCUAAAGGAGGAAUUGCGAUUGCGAGUAGCCUAAAAUCCCAAAAUGUUACACCUCGUGGACGAGUUCGAACCCAGGAAGAAGAUCUGCAAAGUACCCUCUAAGUCUUCGUCGUGGUGGGUGUGAGUUUUGGGAAUGAAUCGAUCCUCCUAUGUGUGAUCGUGCCACUAUUGUGAUUCCUAGCCUGUUGAAAAAGAUUCGUCAGUUAAAACAAGAAAUAUCAAUAAUUUUUAGGUCAUAAGUGAGAGAAAUAAAUGAGCAACCUUAACUUAAAAGGCUACCUGAAAGUGAGAGCCUCCAUGAUAACAGUCCAAGUGUUCGAGUUCCUCAGUGUUCGAGCUGCCAUAAAAAUAGUAAAAAUGCCUUUUGUAAAAAUAUUGUCAUUUGCGUUGUUGUUUCUUUUGUAUUGUUUUGGUUCAAGAUCCUAUUUUAACUUUAUUAUUUAGUAGGAUUUUGAACAAGUGUUCCUAUUAAUUUUGCAUGUAAUACUUGAUAUUUUGGAAUGAAAAUGGUUAUUUUGACAA